GAUGAACGCUGGCGGCGUGCUUAACACAUGCAAGUCGAACGAUGAAGCCCAGCUUGCUGGGUGGAUUAGUGGCGAACGGGUGAGUAACACGUGAGUAACCUGCCCUUAACUCUGGGAUAAGCCUGGGAAACUGUGUCUAAUACCGGAUAGGAGCGUCCACCGCAUGGUGGGUGUUGGAGAGAUUUAUCGGUUUUGGAUGGACUCGCGGCCUAUCAGCUUGUUGGUGAGGUAAUGGCUCACCAAGGCGACGACGGGUAGCCGGCCUGAGAGGGUGACCGGCCACACUGGGACUGAGACACGGCCCAGACUCCUACGGGAGGCAGCAGUGGGGAAUAUUGCACAAUGGGCGAAAGCCUGAUGCAGCGACGCCGCGUGAGGGAUGACGGCCUUCGGGUUGUAAACCUCUUUCAGUAGGGAAGAAGCGAAAGUGACGGUACCUGCAGAAGAAGCACCGGCUAACUACGUG
rnacentral:rRNA from 1 species